rnacentral:tRNA from 1 species
GGCGCGAUAGCAAAGCGGAUAUGCAGCGGCCUGCAAAGCCGUCCACGCUGGUUCGAUUCCAGCUCGCGCCU